CUGAUUUCCAGGGAUCGUUCAAAGGCGUCUCCAAUAACUGCAUCAGUAACUACAGUUAAUUCUUCAUUGUCUCAUUCCCAGUGAUACGAUUCUUCUGAAGAAAACUGAUCUGUGACAGCUUCCAGGGACUCAACAGUAGCUGCCGAGUCUUCACCUACCAUCCAGUGUGUAAACUUAGAAAAUCUACCUGAUUAAGUGGAUUUGGAAAUUAUGAGUGUAUCUUCAUCAGCAAAACUUCUGGUGGGCUGAUUUUCUUAGACCAGCCUGCACAGUUCCAUGAGGAAUCAGCAAGGACAACA